rnacentral:rRNA from 1 species
CAAGCCACAGCUACUAAAUUAUGAUUUAAACUUAAUAGUAUUGUAGCCUAUAAUAAAGCUCUAGAUAAGAGCU